CCUACGGGAGGCAGCAGUGGGGAAUAUUGGGCAAUGGACGCAAGUCUGACCCAGCAACGCCGCGUGAAGGAAGAAGGCUUUCGGGUUGUAAACUUCUUUUAAGGGGGAAGAGCAGAAGACGGUACCCCUUGAAUAAGCCACGGCUAACUACGUGCCAGCAGCCGGGGUAAUACGUAGGUGGCAAGCGUUGUCCGGAUUUACUGGGGGUAAAGGGCGUGCAGCCGGAGAGACAAGUCAGAUGUGAACUCCACGGGCUCAACCCGUGAACUGCAUUUGAAACUGUUUCCCUUGAGUGUCGGAGAGGUAAUCGGAAUUCCUUGUGUAGCGGUGACAUGCGUAGAUAUAAGGAAGAACACCAGUGGCGAAGGCGGAUUACUGGACGAUAACUGACGGUGAGGCGCGAAAGCGUGGGGAGCAAACAGGAUUAGAUACCCUAGUAGUC
rnacentral:rRNA from 1 species